rnacentral:rRNA from 1 species
CCUACGGGUGGCUGCAGUUAGGAAUCUUGCGCAAUGGGCGAAAGCCUGACGCAGCAACGCCGCGUGGGGGAUGAAGGCCCUCGGGUUGUAAACCCCUUUCAGUCGGGACGAAAAUGACGGUACCGACAGAAGAAGCCCCGGCCAACUACGUGCCAGCAGCCGCGGUGACACGUAGGGGGCAAGCGUUGUCCGGAUUUAUUGGGCGUAAAGGGCUCGUAGGCGGUUCGACAAGUCGGGUGUGAAACCUCCAGGCUCAACCUGGAGUCGCCGCUCGA